CUGAUCUAGAGCAAGAGACCUGGAGAAACAUGAUUGACCAAGAGAGGAAGAAACUUGUGGAAACCAUCUUUGAUGAACUGAUAGCUUCAAUAGACAAAUGGGGCCACGACCACUCUCAAGUUAAUGGCCCAGCUGGUGAUGUGUGGUGGGUCAUGAGACAUGUAAUGCUAUUGUUCAUUGGCUGGAAGUUUGGAACUGUGGCUAAUUUCCUCUACAAAUUUCAAGAUGAUGUCAUACCUAAGGACAUGAUUCAAGAGGAACAGAUGCAUCUGAUAGAUGCAGGACUCUACCUAAACUCACCAUAUCCAUCAGCCCUGAGAGCAGCCAGGGACAUAGAUCUUAUCAUAUCU